UACGUAGGAUGCAAGCGUUGUCCGGAAUUAUUGGGCGUAAAGAGCGCGCAGGCGGCCCAUCAAGUCAGAUGUGAAAUAACCAGGCUUAACCUGGUGGGGUCAUUUGAAACUGGCGGGCUAGAGUCCAGCAGAGGAUAGCGGAAUUCCCGGUGUAGUGGUGAAAUGCGCAGAUAUCGGGAGGAACACCAAUGGCGAAGGCAGCUCGCUGGGACGUGACUGACGCUGAGACGCGAAAGCGUGGGGAGCAAACAGG
rnacentral:rRNA from 1 species